GACGAACGCUGGCGGUGUGCUUAACACAUGCAAGUCGAACGGUAAGGCCCUUUCGGGGGUACACGAGUGGCGCACGGGUGAGUAACACGUGAGUAACCUGCCCUCAUCUCUGGGAUAACAGUCGGAAACGGUUGCUAAUGCUGGAUAUGAGCUUGCAAGGCAUCUUGUGGGUUGGAAAGAUUUUUUUGGUUGGGGAUGGACUCGCGGCCUAUCAGCUUGUUGGUGAGGUAGUGGCUCACCAAGGCUUCGACGGGUAGCCGGCCUGAGAGGGCGACCGGCCACAUUGGGACUGAGAUACGGCCCAAACUCCUACGGGAGGCAGCAGUGGGGAAUAUUGCACAAUGGACGGAAGUCUGAUGCAGCAACGCCGCGUGCGGGAUGACGGCCUUCGGGUUGUAAACCGCUUUCAAUUGUGACGAAGCUUUUUGUGACGGUAGCAGUAGAAGAAGCACCGGCUAACUACGUG
rnacentral:rRNA from 1 species